rnacentral:rRNA from 1 species
CCAGACUCCUACGGGAGGCAGCAGUGGGGGAUAUUGCACAAUGGGGGGAACCCUGAUGCAGCGACGCCGCGUGGGUGAAGAAGCGCCUCGGCGCGUAAAGCCCUAUCGGCAGGGAAGAAGGAGGACGGUACCUGACUAAGAAGCCCCGACUAACUACGUGCCAGCAGCCGCGGUAAUACGUAGGGGGCAAGCGUUAUCCGGAUUUACUGGGUGUAAAGGGGGCGCAGACGGCAGCGCAAGCCAGGAGGGAAAGCCCGGGGCGCAGCCCCGGGACUGCCCUUGGAACUGCACGGCUGGAGUGCGGGAGGGGCAGGCGGAACUCCUGGUGUAGCGGUGAAAUGCGUAGAUAUCAGGAGGAACACCGGCGGCGAAGGCGGCCUGCUGGACCGCGACUGACGUUGAGGCUCGAAAGCGUGGGGAGCGAACAGGAUUAGAUACCCCAGUAACA